CAACCUUUACAAGUAGUUUAAUAAACAAAGGAAGAAGAUUUAAACUCCUAGAUGAGCAAAUAUAACAAUAUAAUCUACAAAGAAGAGUUUAGAGAAUAUUUAUCGCUUGAUGUGACUUCUCUCUUCUUUGUCAAGGAUGAUUCACUCUUCAAGGGUGGAUGGAGCUCUUGAUGACUCUUUGAAUCUGCUCAACCACUUUCUUUUGACUCUUGAAUGAAGCACUUGGAUGAAGAAGAUUAGGACACUUUCUCUUUCUUGUGUACUCUUUGAUAUUCUUUGGAAAGGAUGUUCUAUCUGAUGAAUAGUGCCACUUUAAAUAGUUUUCUUCAUCCAUUGGACAAGCCCCAAUGGUUAGAAUUCAAAAACUAGCCGUUACUCACUGUUGGAAGGACAAAAAGUACUUCUGCAGAACUAGCCAUUAUGCUUCUGCCCGUGUUUGGGUCGGCUCAACCUGUCCUUGGGUCGACCCAACUUUCACUUGGGUCGACUCAAACAUUUCUUGGGUC
rnacentral:lncRNA from 1 species